UGCCAGCCGCCGCGGUAAUACGGAGGGUGCAAGCGUUGUCCGGAUUUAUUGGGUUUAAAGGGUACGUAGGUGGAUUCUUAAGUCCGUGGUGAAAGCCCGCAGCUCAACUGCGGAACUGCCAUGGAUACUGGGAAUCUUGAAUUCAGUUGAGGUUGGCGGAAUUUAUGGUGUAGCGGUGAAAUGCAUAGAUACCAUAAAGAACACCUAUUGCGAAGGCAGCUAACUGGACUUGAAUUGACACUGAGGUACGAAAGCGUGGGGAGCGAACAGGAUUAGAUA
rnacentral:rRNA from 1 species